ACUUUCGCAAGGCACUGUAUUUUGAUUGCCGUAUCACGAGUUGUUUUUGUUGUGUAGGUAAGCGGCCGUCAAGUAUUUGAGUUCUGUCCGGAUCUGGCUGAUGAUGACGAUGAGGAGGCUGAUGACAUAAAAUAUGUUGAGGACAAUGAUGACGUUGAGGUUGAAUAUGUUCACGAGUUCCAGGAUGUUGAUCUAGCCAGGUUUAUUCCAAAGGAAGUUGACAACACCGGAAUAACUGUUGCUGCAAUCGACAGAUUCACAGCCAAAUCAAAGCCAACAAAGGAAACGAAUGAUGACCAGCUGAACGGUGCUUGCGGAGGUGUGGAGGAGAACGGGCACGAUGGGGAAGACGAGACUCUCGACGACAAGGAAGCAGAGCCCGUGCCUGUGGACGAGAACCUUUUCACCGGCGAGGACCUGGACGAACUGGAUGAGGAACUCAACACACUGGACCUGGAUGACUGACAAUGAUGACUUCUAGUAGAACAGUGCCUCAUGGACUAUGAAUAUGAGAUGUCUAAAACAGAUUCACAAUAAAAUAUCCUGAUGCUCACA